rnacentral:rRNA from 1 species
AUGAACGCUGGCGGCGUGCCUAAUACAUGCAAGUCGAGCGAACAGAUGCGGAGCUUGCUCCUCUGACGUUAGCGGCGGACGGGUGAGUAACACGUGGAUAACCUACCUAUCAGACUGGGAUAACUUCGGGAAACCGGAGCUAAUACCGGAUAAUCUAUUGAACCGCAUGGUUCAAUAGUGAAAGACGGUUUUGCUGUCACUUAUAGAUGGAUCCGCGCCGCAUUAGCUAGUUGGUAAGGUAACGGCUUACCAAGGCAACGAUGCGUAGCCGACCUGAGAGGGUGAUCGGCCACACUGGAACUGAGACACGGUCCAGACUCCUACGGGAGGCAGCAGUAGGGAAUCUUCCGCAAUGGGCGAAAGCCUGACGGAGCAACGCCGCGUGAGUGAUGAAGGUCUUCGGAUCGUAAAACUCUGUUAUUAGGGAAGAACAAAUGUGUAAGUAACUAUGCACGUCUUGACGGUACCUAAUCAGAAAGCCACGGCUAACUACGUG